GGCCACGCAACGUGCCCGGGGCAGAAGGGCCCGGCCCAGCCCCGACCAGCGGGCGAGAGUUCCUGGGGCUGGGCCCUGCGUUCGCCUGCCGGGCCACAGGCUGCUGCGACUGCAGAGCGCUGGGCUGGGCCGGGCCGGGCCGGGCCUGGCCCAGACCCUGCCGACAGGCCGGGCACCAGCCGGAGCACGCCAACGCCCUGCAGCUUACACUCCUCCAGCCACCCGCUUCUUCCCUAGAGCCCAGAAGGCCAGAGCUCAUCAUCGAAGAGACUCUCAGACGUGGGGGCUUUCCUGAAAAGACUCUCUCCAGCUAAUGGUCUCUGGGAACACAGGGCAACUCCAGCCGUGUGGCAGGUUUUGCUUCACUUUCAUUUAACGUUAUAAGUAGCUGCUUCUCCGAGAUGUUCAACCAAGUCCCCUGGGAGAGCGUGUGGAUUAAAUGUUCUCUGCCUGAUGCUACAGGCUUUGUGCUAAUUCCCGGCUGGAUGCAUUCCCAGUGAGACACCUUGUCCUUCAAACCAAGGUGCCAGCCCUCUGCUGGGGGGGGGGGGGGACACAAGGCAGAGGGUUGUCAUUCCAGCACUGCAGCUAGAGCAGCCCCAACCUCUGCAUGCCUAGCUGGAUGGUCUGGGGAAGCAUCAGGCUGGUUUUGAUCCCUCACCUCCGGGCAGGGUGGGCUGCUUAUGCCGGCUUAGCUUGCUCUGCUACUUACGGCUCAUGCUACUCAGAGUCAGUGGGUCUGAAAUUAGCCAAGCUGUGCACUGGGUCUGUUGCUCUUUACACAGCAAAUAUAAUUGGAAGAAACCACAGUGGGCUCAAAUCACCCUGUCUGCCUAACCAUGGACACCAUGCAAGCCUAGCUACACCCAGCCCUGCCUCUCUGCUGGGACUGCGGGGGUUGGAACAGAGAAGAUAGAUAGUGCCACUGGAGUGGUCACAAACUACUUCAAGGGAUACUGGCCAAUUCUUAUAGACUACAGAGAGAGACUGGACUGGGAGCCAGGGGACUGUUGGGGGAGUUCAGAUCCGACACCCUAAGGGCUGGUCAGAAUCAAGGGGGUCCAGCACCGCCCACCUCCCCAGGCUGGCCCUAGCUAUGGGAAUGUUCUUCAGAGUCCGCACACAAAGUUCCCCGUGAGCCGUGACCAGAACCCCUACUCUUCUCAGAAAGCACCCUCCAGGACCUCUUCUCCGAACCACCCCAGCAACAGCUGGUCCAACUUUGUUCUCUCGCUUUUUUCUACGAAAAGUGGCUCUUUGAUUCAACAGAAAAUUUCUUGCAAAAAUGUCAUUUAAUGUUGGGAUGGGGGCGGGGGGUGAUAAAUUAAUGGGGGAGGUAGCUCCCUUUUGUGGACACCCAGCCAGCCAGUUAGCUAUAAAAUCCCUCUUGGUAGCUGUUCUCUACUGGCUUUACCUGUAAAGCAGGGGUCUCAAAGUCCCGGCCCGUGGGCCAUCCGCAGCCUGAGAACCUCCCCACUGCAGCCCGCGGAGGAGAGACCCAUGCAGACAUGCUGGUGGCUCUGUCUGCUGCAGGUGCCGCCCUGCCCCCCCCCAGCUCCCAUUGGCUGGGGGACAGGGACAGAGAUACCAUCACUAGUCGCUGGGCAGAAUCAGCCAUGCAAGCAGUGUCACUUUUUUCUGCAAUGAAUAUAAAUAAGUCAAAAUCCCGAACACAGCUGUCUGACACCCACCUUGCUGCAUCCUGAAGGUUUCAACGGCUCAGUCACUGAGGCCAAACAUCAACAAACGGACAGAACUGAAGCGUUGCCAGGUGUCUGGCAAACACUAAACACUCUCGGGCAGGCAAAGAAUUGUAUAACAUUGUAUGACAGUGUUAUUGUUUCGAAGAAUAUAAGAAGAAUAAGAAACAAUACAAUAUAAACAUUUUCUUUUCUGAACACCAUCUUCAGUGACAUUAUUGGCCCGCUGGGAGGAUUUGAGGACUGGCACUGGCCCUAAGGUAAAUUGAGUUUGAGACCCCCUGCUGUA